UACGUAGGUGACAAGCGUUGUCCGGAUUUACUGGGCGUAAAGCGCACGCAGGUGGCUGAGUAAGUCGAUUGUGAAAGCCCUGGGCUUAACCUGGGAAUUGCAGUCGAUACUGCUCGGCUAGAGUAUGGGAGAGGGUAGUGGAAUUCCCGGUGUAGCGGUGAAAUGCGUAGAUAUCGGGAGGAACAUCAGUGGCGAAGGCGGCUACCUGGCCCAAUACUGACACUCAGGUGCGACAGCGUGGGGAGCAAACAGG
rnacentral:rRNA from 1 species